GUUUCUGUAGUUGAAUAACAACGGCGGUUUUUCAGAUCGCUGGUCUUGGUGACAUGGGCCAAGUAGGAAUG
rnacentral:tRNA from 1 species